rnacentral:rRNA from 1 species
UACAGAGGUCCCAAGCGUUACUGAGAAUCGCUGGGUUUAAAGGGUGCGUAGGUGGUCCGUUAAGUCAGUUGUGAAAUCCCCGGGCUCAACCCGGGAAAUGCUUCUGAUACUGGCGGACUUGAGGCCAGUAGGGGUCACUAGAACUGACGGUGGAGCGGUGAAAUGCGUAGAUAUCGUCAGGAAUGCCGGUGGUGAAGGCGGGUGACUGGGCUGGUUCUGACACUGAGGCACGAAAGCGUGGGGAGCGAACGGG